rnacentral:rRNA from 1 species
GUUGAACGCUGGCGGCAGGCCUAACACAUGCAAGUCGAACGAGUGGCGGACGGGUGAGUAGUGUCUGGGCAACUGCCUGAUGGAGGGGGCUAACUACUGGAAACGGUAGCUAAUACCGCAUACCAUCGGAUGUGCCCAGAUGGGAUUAGCUAGUAGGUGGGGUAAAGGCUCACCUAGGCGACGAUCCCUAGCUGGUCUGAGAGGGUGACCAGCCACACUGGAACUGAGACACGGCCCAGACUCCUACGGGAGGCAGCAGUGGGGAAUAUUGGACAAUGGGCGAAAGCCUGAUGCAGCCACGCCGCGUGUAUGAAGAAGGCCUUCGGGUUGUAAAGUUCUUUUAUCGGGGAGGCGGUACCUGAAGAAGAAGCACCGGCUAACUCCGUGCCAGCAGCCGCGGUAAUAC